rnacentral:rRNA from 1 species
AUGCAAGUCGAACGGUAACAUUUCUAGCUUGCUAGAAGAUGACGAGUGGCGGACGGGUGAGUAAUGCUCGGGAACUUGCCUUUGCGAGGGGGAUAACAGUUGGAAACGACUGCUAAUACCGCAUAAUGUCUUCGGACCAAACGGGGCUUUUAGCUCCGGCGCAAAGAGAGGCCCAAGUGAGAUUAGCUAGUUGGUAAGGUAACGGCUUACCAAGGCGACGAUCUCUAGCUGUUCUGAGAGGAAGAUCAGCCACACUGGGACUGAGACACGGCCCAGACUCCUACGGGAGGCAGCAGUGGGGAAUAUUGCACAAUGGGGGAAACCCUGAUGCAGCCAUGCCGCGUGUGUGAAGAAGGCCUUCGGGUUGUAAAGCACUUUCAGUUGUGAGGAAAAGUUAGUAGUUAAUACCUGCUAGCCGUGACGUUAACAACAGAAGAAGCACCGGCUAACUCCGUGCCAGCAGCCGCGGUAAUACGGAGGGUGCGAGCGUUAAUCGGAAUUACUGGGCGUAAAGCGCACGCAGGCGGUUUGUUAAGCUAUAUGUGAAAGCCCCGGGCUCAACCUGGGAUGGUCAU